CCUAAUUACGGUUCUUUCCGCGAGUGGAACGCAGAGACUUCCGGCCAGCGCCACUUCCGCGGAAUGGAACGCAUGGUGUUCCGGUCGGUGGAACGCAAAAGACGCGUCUCCGGCAGUUGCCCUUCCAAAUCGUUAAAAUACACUCAUUUAAGUAGCCGUGCGUUAGCGAUAGCCACUGCCUGUCCUGUGAACCCUGUAACGUUUUUCCCAGUUGGUCUGAGUUAGUUAUCUGAGAGGUGAUCAGUUAAUGAGAGACUGGGUUUAUACUAAUCUCCUUAAUUGGCACUUCCUGUGGUUGAUCCUUAAAUAGUGCUCAGCUGAGGCUGAACUUUAUGCAGCUUCCAUUUGGCUCUGGACACUUGAGCAGUGAGUAUGGUUCUCCUGCAGCUCCCUUCUGACACAUGAUUACGGUUGGUGAUUAUUUUUUCCUGUUGUGCCUCCUUACAGACUGAGUGUCUGACACAUGUACAGAGCCCACAAGCUGCCAUGAGCUAUUUCUACAUGUAACUAGGUGACUACGCCUUGCAGCUUCCCCUACGUUAUAGGCUUUUUAACUUCAUUAUGUGAUCAGGCAUGUUGCCAACUUUGAAGGCCAUUCCACACAUCUGAGUGAUCUGGCUUGCCGUCCAGGUGAUUUAAGUGCCAAUCUUGAUAAAGGUCCGCAUAAGGACCGAAACGUCGAUGAAAUACGGCAUCAACAGUGAACCCGA